GCCUGUGUGGACCCUCUGUAGGUGCAGGUCACUGCAGCUGGUGCCCAAACAGGGACUGAAGGUGGGUACAGUGAGGACCCCAGAGAAGAAACCGGUGUCAAGAUUCCGGAGCUGAGUGGUUCUCAACCCGACUUCUGAAACGGAGAGAUGGCUAAGAAGUCCCGCACUCAGAAGUUUUUGCAAGAGUUUUUUUGGCUAUACUAGCACUGCUGUCUGUUCAGGUAAAUGUUGCAGCAGGAAAAACUUAUUGGGCGUAUGUGCCUGAUCCCCCCUUUUUAAGACCUUUAACAUGGGAAGAUCCUCCUGUACAUGUGUUCAUAAAUGAUACCCGUAUCUUUUUCUUAUAAGGGGAGAUCUUUAUGCCCACCAUUAUGUUUUUCUAAACGAAAUCCUGUUGGAACUUUAUAUUUAGAAAUAAAAAAGGGAAAGGUGUUUACAGAAGGUUUGGAUGAACAUUGGUUACAAAAACAAUAUACAUUGGAAAUAGAAGGGCCUUCUGAUUUUGAUGGGUUUAUUGACAGUCAUGUGCAUCCUCCUGAUAUUCCUGUUUGCAAGGCUUUUUCUACUGAUAUUCGACCAUUUGUAAAACACCCUUUUUGGCUUAAUUGUCAUCAUGAACUUCCAGCAGCUCAUCUUCUAGUUGAACCUGAACACAUGAUCAUCGACUGGAGAACUGUUAAUCCUAAAGGAAAGGACGAGAUGGAAAAGAUGCAUUUUGCCGGAUGAUGGGUGCCGAGAAUUUUAACCAGUGAUCAAGGAGGGUCUCAACCUACUGUGUGGAAACUUAGGGCUGCACUGGGAACUUUAAAAUAUACACAUGGAAGAGAGACUGAAAUCUUUACCAUUGUAGCUUGUGUUCCUCCUCCAUAUGUAAUGUUGGUGGGUUUUAUAACUAUUAAACAAUUGUGGGACGAUCAAAAGAGUCAUGAAGGAUAUGAAAUUAGCUGAACAAAUUGUAAACUAACAAAUUGUAUUUCUUAUAAGGAUGUGCAUUAUGAUAUUGUCAUAUUACACCAACCUGCUUUUGUAAUGUUGCCUGUGGAUGUGACUGGAAGUUGGUGUCAGCAUUCUGGCCUGGAAGUUUUAAAACAGCUGCAUGGAUUAAUGAACAGACCCAAAAGGUUCAUAGGAAAGUUGAUAGCAGGAAUAGUAGCAGUGGUGGCUUUAGUGGCCACAGCUACCACUGCCACUAUUGCUUUGACACAGGAAAUCCAUACAGCACAAUAUGUAGCUGCGUUGGCUAAGAAUGUUAGCAUAGUUUGGAGAGCUCAAGAAAGAAUAGACAGGAAACGGAACAAAGAUGAGGUGUGCUGGAACAAACAUUACUGUUGGUAGUGAUGAAGGAGCCAGAUGGAAAGUUAUAGCUGGCCUACAGUGUCACGCGGAAUUUGAUCAUAUUUGUGUUACUCCAAAAGUCUACAGUUCAUCUGAUUGGGAUUGGGAAAGAAUUAGGAUGCACUUACUUGGUAUUUGGCAUCAUUCUAAUAUGUCUUUGGAUAUUGCAAAAUUGCAUAAAGAAAUAAUGGCUAUAUCUAGUGCUCAGGAACCUUUAUUAUCACUCUCUCAAGUAGCGGGAGACAUUUUUGACACCUUGAAAGGGUGGUUUUGUCAUUUUCGCAGUCUAAAUAUGUUUGUUAGUGCUGCCAUGAUAUUUGGAUUAAUUUGUCUUAUUCUUUGUUUUCUACCAGUCGGCAUCCGAGCCUUUGGAGCCUCAAUAAGAGCCUUGCAAUCUUCUGUACAUGAACUCCAUUUAAAAAACAACGAAGAGGGAGAUGUUGGGGACCAUCGUUUUACAGGCAAAGUCUGAGCGGUGGAGAGGACACGGCACAGCCCUGAACUCUACCCUUCAUUACCUCUGGCAUAUUGAUAGUUAAGGAGUUCAUAUCAAGUCUAUUGAGUUUGUUUUGUAGAGAACAACCUGUGCAGAGAGUUCUGGUAGAUAAGAAAGGAACGUUUUUGUUACAGAAUGUUUUUGAGUCAUUCUUAGAUUAGAAAAGUAACGGAACACCUUAGUCAGCUUGAACAAACACUUAGGUUUACUGUACCCUGCUUCCUGAUACUGAUGGUAUAGGUAUCUGCUGGCUAACAAAUAAAUUUGCUGGUUGCUGCAUUUGCACCAGUCCUCCU